GACGAACGCUGGCGGCGUGCUUAACACAUGCAAGUCGAGCGGUAAGGCCCUUUCGGGGGUACACGAGCGGCGAACGGGUGAGUAACACGUGGGUGACCUGCCCUCAGCUCUGGGAUAAGCCUGGGAAACCGGGUCUAAUACUGGAUAUGACUCCAUGACGCAUGUUGUGGGGUGGAAAGCCUUGUGCGGCUGAGGAUGGGCCCGCGGCCUAUCAGCUUGUUGGUGGGGUGANGGCCUACCAAGGCGACGACGGGUAGCCGGCCUGAGAGGGCGACCGGCCACACUGGGACUGAGACACGGCCCAGACUCCUACGGGAGGCAGCAGUGGGGAAUCUUGGACAAUGGGCGCAAGCCUGAUCCAGCCAUGCCGCGUGGGUGGAGAAGGCCUGG
rnacentral:rRNA from 1 species